GACAGAGGUGCCGAGCGUUAGGCGGAAUCACUGGGCUUAAAGCGUGUGUAGGCGGGCGGGCAAGUACCUUGUGAAAUCCCACGGCUCAACCGUGGAACGGCUGGGUAUACUGCCUGUCUUGAGCCAACUAGGGGCGAGCGGAACAGACGGUGGAGCGGUGAAAUGCGUAGAUAUCGUCUGGAACGCCAAAGGUGAAAACAGCUCGCUGGGGUUGUGCUGACGCUGAGACACGAAAGCCGGGGGAGCGAACGGG
rnacentral:rRNA from 1 species